UCAAAUAAGCCAUACGUAGAAAAGAAACCAUUCACAUUUUCGUUAACCAAAUUCGACACUCUCUCGUUGACCUCCAUACAAAACACCCUUUGCUUUGGUGACUGAAAAAACACAAAAACGCCACCUGCUGGAGAAUACCGAUUUUGGGCCCAGUUAUCCCUCUCGCUCUCCUUCUUUCUCUCUGUUUCUAUUUGUAGUAGUUUGACAGCGAGAGUACUUCCCGAGUCAAAGGGAAAAUUGAAAAAAUAAAAACAAGCUGGCUGGCUCGGUUAUCCACUUGAGCUUAGUCGGGAAUGGGAACUUGCACACCUGAUCGUGUUUGCUAGAUUGAAGGGGAGAUGACGGACAUUGAACCUGACAUCUUUCCUGGACCAAUUCAAGAUAGUUUGGCCCUAUAGACUCAUUUAACUGCUGUUUAGACAGCAAGACAGGACAAUGUCAGUACAUAUAAAGAAAUAACCACAGUAGUCGCACGAUGGUGAUGCGGUGGUAGACCCUGAGGAGAGAGUGCGAGCCUGCCUGAGCCGACUCUUCGUGGUCCUCUGCUCCAGCUCAGUCCAGCUGCUUCUCACACUGCACUACCUGGAGAAUACCUUCUGCAGCCGGCACGCCCUGUGCCUAUUGGUCAUCGACAGCAUCGCAGCCUUCUAUUGGGUGGACCGGAGCAGCGGAGAGGAGAGCGUGGCCAAGCAGGAAGCCAUACUCAGGAAGUGUUCAGAGCCCCUGGAGACGGUGGUCCUCUUCCCAUGCCUCAGACUUUGACAAGGCUUACAUCAACAGGGAUUGGCAGAGGCUAGUGACACACAAGGAGACGUGACCAAGGACAGAAACCAGGUGUUUUCAACUGCAUACACCACCACAAAGACAUGAGGCGCUAAACACUCCUCGUUCUGUGUAAUGUAAAGGGGAUUUCAGUUUUUAUAAAGAAUGUUGUUGAACUCAUUUGAUUGAAUUCUAUUCCAAUUCCGGAUGUGUUCAACUGUUAGAAGAAUGAUUUUGAACUAUAGCAACUUUUAGUGAUUUUAUUUCUAACAGUUGUUGGAGUAUUUUUAAUCCACCAAAUGUGGAUGGUUAUUAAGUUGAAUGUAAUUUGUUUGUUUUGUUAAGAGGGGAAAAAAUAAAAGAGUAAGAUAGGGCAACUGUUACACACAGAGGUCGCAAAUGUUUUGAAAAGAAAUCACACCAGUUAAGUUCUGAGAACUUGCUUUUGAUAGGUAGCAUUCCUCUGGUCUGGUCCGGAGUGUACGUGGUAUGCCGAAGGGAACUCUAAGGUUAUUAUGCUAUAAAUCCUGCUGCUAUAGCAAAACAUGUAACUUUGUUUACUAUACACACCCUCCAUCCCUCAACAUAAAAGUCUUCAUUUUACGUAAAUAUUUACAUUGUUCAUUGAGCAGCGAUGCCUUUCUUCAUUGAAGCGCUGAAUAUUUAAGUAUAAUUCAAGCGGUUAAAUAUGCUUUACUCUGUAGCGAUAGCUAUAGGUUAAAUAUUCUCAUGAAAGCCUAAAGGCCUGAAAUAUUUCAUGUGUUAUAUCAGUAAACCUGAAAUUACUCUUCACAUGAGAUCUUCUUUAAGUAUUUUAGGGAUGAGCAUAUUUGACAGAGACAGAGAGUUUUGACAGGCAGUUCAAGGAUAGAGUGGAUGGAGCAGAGCAUCUGGAGCUCAGUCAUCCAGUUUCAGAUUUAGUCUGGGGUACAGUAAGUGUUCACCAAACUCACCCUGUUUAGGACUUCCUUAAUCACUUAGCGUGAUUGAUAGUUUUAUAUUUUUCAUGGGCUGUUGGUCUCCACUUUUGAUGCACAACAUCAAUUCCCAGGUUCAGGCCUAGCUUAUAAUAUGGGGAGUGCUUGGUCAAUCUAGCAAGCACUGCUAUUAAAAUGGGGUCUUCGUGUUCAAGCAGGACAACUCUCUCCCUACUCAAUUAUCCCCUGACUUUUGACACCCAACCAGCAUCCCACAGCGAUACCAUAGAUAAACAACAAAUUACACAGUCAUUGUCAGUCAAUCAUCCCGUGGAACCCAGGCUGCUAGUAGCUCAUUGACGGAGACCAGCUGUACUGUACAUAAUAGCAGGGUUUUGUUCCCUCCCUGUGGAUCCUUGUAUUGUUUCACGGCUCUCUGUUCUAUAAGGCAAGCCUUACAGAGUAAUUAGGCACCGAAUGGUUUGUUAUUACUCAAAGAGGAGUUGAUAAAAGUACCCAUCCACCAACCAGCAGCAGCUGUUCACUCCAGUACUUCAUUGUCCCAUGUCAUGUGACCAAGGUUAUUAUAGGUUUGUGAUUUAAUAUUUGUUUUUAUUUCUAUUUUUAGAUUUUAUUUGACAUUCAGUUUAGUUUCAGUUAGUUUUCAGACUUGAUUUACUAGUUUUUAUUUAUACUGAACAAAAAUAUAAAUGCAACAUGUAAAGUGUUGGUCCCAUGUUUCAUGAGCUGAAAUAAAAGAUCCCAGAAUUUU